rnacentral:rRNA from 1 species
UUACGAGCCCAAGCUUAAAACCCAAAGGACUUGACGGUGCCCCACCCACCUAGAGGAGCCUGUUCUAUAAUCGAUUUUCCCCGAUACACCUCACCGCUUCUAGCCUUUCAGCCUGUAUACCUCCGUCGUAAGCUUACCAUAUGAACGCUAAUCAGUGAGCUAAAAGAUCUAUCAUCAACACGUCAGGUCAAGGUGCAGCCCACGAAACGGCAAGCAAUGGGCUACAGUCUCUAACUUAGAACAAACGAAAGACUACAUGAAACUUAGUCACGAAGGCGGAUUUAGUAGUAAAAAGAAAAUAGAGCGUUCUUUUUAAUCUGGCACUGGGACGCGUACACACCGCCCGUCACCCUCUUCAAACACAACUAUUAUGUUAAUAACACAAAACAACACCACAGAAGAGGUAAGUCGUAACAUGGUAAGCGUACUGGAAAGUGCACUUGGAUAA